rnacentral:rRNA from 1 species
GACGAACGCUGGCGGCGUGCUUAACACAUGCAAGUCGAACGGUGAAGCGCCUUCCUUUUUGGUGGGUGUGGAUGAGUGGCGAACGGGUGAGUAACACGUGAGUAACCUGCCCCCUUCUUCUGGAUAACCGCAUGAAAGUGUGGCUAAUACGGGAUAUUCUGGGUCUGUCGCAUGAUGGGUCUGGGAAAGAUAUUGUUUCGGUGGGGGAUGGGCUCGCGGCCUAUCAGCUUGUUGGUGGGGUGAUGGCCUACCAAGGCGGUGACGGGUAGCCGGCCUGAGAGGGUGGACGGUCACAAUGGGACUGAGACACGGCACAGACUCCUAAGGGAGGCAGCAGUGGGGAAUAGUGCACAAUGGGCGAAAGCCUGAUGCAGCGACGCCGCGUGAGGGAUGGAGGCCUUCGGGUUGUGAACCUCUUUCGCCAGUGAAGCAGGCCUGCCUCGUUUGUGGGUGGGUUGACGGUAGCUGGAUAAGAAGCGCCGGCUAACUACGUG